CGGGCAGGCACAAGUCAGGCCCGGUCAUCUGGCAGAGGAGGGACACACGUAUGCGCCAGGCCCCAGAGUUUCAUUUAAACUUUGGAGACAGUGGAGAGGAAAUCAAGUGAAAACACCCACCCACUUCAAAUUUCUGACCAAGCCGUGGUGCCUGUGCUGUGUGUUGUAGUUUCCGAGUGGGAAGCAGGGUUUUGUUUUACUUUCUUGUGGAGGACUAUGUACUACUAGCUAGGUGUGUGAUGCUCCUCCUUCCAAUGACAACGAUGUCCCUGAGCUGGCAAAGGCAGGUCAAGACAAGGGAGGGAAAGAUGCUGACAGCUUACAGAAAAAACGAAUAGAAAUGUUGGCAGCUGAGCGCAAACUCCUUUAGAAACAGGUGUGAACCUCCAUGCCCCGGCUUCUGGAAGCCAAUAACCCUGAGAAGAGUGUCAUAUAACAAAUGUCGGGCAUAGGGGCAAAGAUGACUAGCGGGUUUCUUUAUAGAAAUGUAAAAUGUAACAAUUGACACAAAAUGUAGCAAAGUAUGCAUGUUUACAUUGUUUAUAAAGAUACAAUUUCUUUUUUAAAAAUGAACACUCCUGGUGUAUGGGGUCAGGGGGAUAAACACUCCGGUAAGGAUAUCUUAGCUCUUUCUCUUACACGACACAUAUAUUUUCCCUUUUAUUUCACUUAUUCCACAACUAUUUAUUGAGUUACUGCUAAGUCAUAGAGAUAAAAGAUGAGUAAGGUAGAAAAUGGCAGUCAUCUCUACAAGGGCGUCGGGUGGAAUACAUUCCAGGCCCUGAGAGCUGUGAUGGGGAAAGCAGGUGUGUUGUAGAAGCAUGGGGGGAGCACAUAGUCAUUGUCAUGGGGAGAGCAGUGGUCAGGGAUGGAAGUGAGGUUGAAAGAAGCAGGGA